GUGCGGAUGGAUGAAUGAAGGAGUAUGAUGUGCUUAAGAUCUGUGCGAGGCAUCAUUCAAUGGUUGAUGUCACGAAAGAAGAUCAAUUAUUUUUUUCCCCGAAUCUGAAAUAGGAAAGGAAAACAAGGGAACUAGAUGAGUUAGACAGACUAUGAGCCUUGUUUUUAUAAUUUUCAGUAAAAAAGAUUAUUGCCAGUAUUAACCUUGGAAUUUUUGGAUCCAAAACUUGCUAGCAAGGAAUAGUUGAAUAAUUAUUAAUUAAUUAAAAAUAUUUUUUUUCCUCCAAAACCUCCUCAAAUCUGCUAUAACAUAUUGUUUUAUAGGGACAUCCAAGAUCAAAGAUGGCAUUAUGCGUCCAACUUGACUUCUCUUAAUUUCUAAAAGUAUUAAUGCAAAUCCAUGUCUGAAAUUAGGGCAAAGCCCCAAC
rnacentral:lncRNA from 1 species